rnacentral:rRNA from 1 species
GGUUAAGCGACUAAGCGUACACGGUGGAUGCCCUGGCAGUCAGAGGCGAUGAAGGACGUGCUAAUCUGCGAUAAGCGUCGGUAAGGUGAUAUGAACCGUUAUAACCGGCGAUUUCCGAAUGGGGGAAACCCAGUGUGUUUCGACACACUAUCAUUAACUGAAUCCAUAGGUUAAUGAGGCGAACCGGGGGAACUGAAACAUCUAAGUACCCCGAGGAAAAGAAAUCAACCGAGAUUCCCCCAGUAGCGGCGAGCGAACGGGGAGGAGCCCAGAGCCUGAAUCAGUGUGUGUGUUAGUGGAAGCGUCUGGAAAGGCGCGCGAUACAGGGUGACAGCCCCGUACACAAAAAUGCACAUGCUGUGAGCUCGAUGAGUAGGGCGGGACACGUGGUAUCCUGUCUGAAUAUGGGGGACCAUCCUCCAAGGCUAAAUACUCCUGACUGACCGAUAGUGAACCAGUACCGUGAGGGAAAGGCGAAAAGAACCCCGGCGAGGGGAGUGAAAAAGAACCUGAAACCGUGUACGUACAAGCAGUGGGAGCACAGAGCAAUCUGUGUGACUGCGUACCUUUUGUAUAAUGGGUCAGCGACUUAUAUUCUGUAGCAAGGUUAACCGAAUAGGGGAGCCGAAGGGAAACCGAGUCUUAACUGGGCGUUAAGUUGCAGGGUAUAGACCCGAAACCCGGUGAUCUAGCCAUGGGCAGGUUGAAGGUUGGGUAACACUAACUGGAGGACCGAACCGACUAAUGUUGAAAAAUUAGCGGAUGACUUGUGGCUGGGGGUGAAAGGCCAAUCAAACCGGGAGAUAGCUGGUUCUCCCCGAAAGCUAUUUAGGUAGCGCCUCGUGAAUUCAUCUCCGGGGGUAGAGCACUGUUUCGGCAAGGGGGUCAUCCCGACUUACCAACCCGAUGCAAACUGCGAAUACCGGAGAAUGUUAUCACGGGAGACACACGGCGGGUGCUAACGUCCGUCGUGAAGAGGGAAACAACCCAGACCGCCAGCUAAGGUCCCAAAGUCAUGGUUAAGUGGGAAACGAUGUGGGAAGGCCCAGACAGCCAGGAUGUUGGCUUAGAAGCAGCCAUCAUUUAAAGAAAGCGUAAUAGCUCACUGGUCGAGUCGGCCUGCGCGGAAGAUGUAACGGGGCUAAACCAUGCACCGAAGCUGCGGCAGCGACACUGUGUGUUGUUGGGUAGGGGAGCGUUCUGUAAGCCUGUGAAGGUGUGCUGUGAGGCAUGCUGGAGGUAUCAGAAGUGCGAAUGCUGACAUAAGUAACGAUAAAGCGGGUGAAAAGCCCGCUCGCCGGAAGACCAAGGGUUCCUGUCCAACGUUAAUCGGGGCAGGGUGAGUCGACCCCUAAGGCGAGGCCGAAAGGCGUAGUCGAUGGGAAACAGGUUAAUAUUCCUGUACUUGGUGUUACUGCGAAGGGGGGGACGGAGAAGGCUAUGUUGGCCGGGCGACGGUUGUCCCGGUUUAAGCGUGUAGGCUGGUUUUCCAGGCAAAUCCGGAAAAUCAAGGCUGAGGCGUGAUGACGAGGCACUACGGUGCUGAAGCAACAAAUGCCCUGCUUCCAGGAAAAGCCUCUAAGCAUCAGGUAACAUCAAAUCGUACCCCAAACCGACACAGGUGGUCAGGUAGAGAAUACCAAGGCGCUUGAGAGAACUCGGGUGAAGGAACUAGGCAAAAUGGUGCCGUAACUUCGGGAGAAGGCACGCUGAUAUGUAGGUGAAGUCCCUCGCGGAUGGAGCUGAAAUCAGUCGAAGAUACCAGCUGGCUGCAACUGUUUAUUAAAAACACAGCACUGUGCAAACACGAAAGUGGACGUAUACGGUGUGACGCCUGCCCGGUGCCGGAAGGUUAAUUGAUGGGGUCAGCGCAAGCGAAGCUCUUGAUCGAAGCCCCGGUAAACGGCGGCCGUAACUAUAACGGUCCUAAGGUAGCGAAAUUCCUUGUCGGGUAAGUUCCGACCUGCACGAAUGGCGUAAUGAUGGCCAGGCUGUCUCCACCCGAGACUCAGUGAAAUUGAACUCGCUGUGAAGAUGCAGUGUACCCGCGGCAAGACGGAAAGACCCCGUGAACCUUUACUAUAGCUUGACACUGAACAUUGAGCCUUGAUGUGUAGGAUAGGUGGGAGGCUUUGAAGUGUGGACGCCAGUCUGCAUGGAGCCGACCUUGAAAUACCACCCUUUAAUGUUUGAUGUUCUAACGUGGACCCGUGAUCCGGGUUGCGGACAGUGUCUGGUGGGUAGUUUGACUGGGGCGGUCUCCUCCUAAAGAGUAACGGAGGAGCACGAAGGUUGGCUAAUCCUGGUCGGACAUCAGGAGGUUAGUGCAAUGGCAUAAGCCAGCUUGACUGCGAGCGUGACGGCGCGAGCAGGUGCGAAAGCAGGUCAUAGUGAUCCGGUGGUUCUGAAUGGAAGGGCCAUCGCUCAACGGAUAAAAGGUACUCCGGGGAUAACAGGCUGAUACCGCCCAAGAGUUCAUAUCGACGGCGGUGUUUGGCACCUCGAUGUCGGCUCAUCACAUCCUGGGGCUGAAGUAGGUCCCAAGGGUAUGGCUGUUCGCCAUUUAAAGUGGUACGCGAGCUGGGUUUAGAACGUCGUGAGACAGUUCGGUCCCUAUCUGCCGUGGGCGCUGGAGAACUGAGGGGGCUGCUCCUAGUACGAGAGGACCGGAGUGGACGCAUCACUGGUGUUCGGGUUGUCAUGCCAAUGGCACUGCCCGGUAGCUAAAUGCGGAAGAGAUAAGUGCUGAAAGCAUCUAAGCACGAAACUUGCCCCGAGAUGAGUUCUCCCUGACCCUUUAAGGGUCCUGAAGGAACGUUGAAGACGACGACGUUGAUAGGCCGGGUGUGUAAGCGCAGCGAUGCGUUGAGCUAACCGGUACUAAUGAACCGUGAGGCUUAACCUU